CUCGUGCCAGCUCAUUUUAGGGCCUGAGCCAAAAAGUGAGGCAGAUCCAAAGCUUGAGUGAAUCACAUCACAAGAAACAGUGGGAAUUGCACGCCUAGUGUUGAAAACUUCUUGGGGCCCUCGGAAGCUUUGGAUCAAGCUCAUAUUUGUGUUUUCACCUUAUCCAUGUCUGUGUGACUGAACAGGUUAGAUGACAAAUAAACAUCAUUGUGGACACUCAGAGAGAAACAGCUUUCAACAGUGUCGUCUUUAGAGCCACAGCUUGUGUUAUUUUUGGGGCCAUAACCUAAAAUAUGCUGGUAAAAUGGUUGGAUGGUGUGAAUAAGUUACACGCAUCACGGUGGGCCCCACAAAUUUAAGUCAGACUCAACAACUUUGCUUCUGACCAGUUUUGGAUGUGAAAAUGCCAAGUGAUUUCUGUCUCUUGCAAACACUUAGAAAUGAGUAUUAUUACAUUUUUCCAUGUAUUUACUGAGGAAAAUUGAAAAUCAAACAGGUCAUUAGGAAUCCAAAUCACAGAUUUAGAAUCCUGGGGACUUUCAUUUUGUCAGUUGUGUUUCGUAACCAGGAUUUUAAAUCUGUUGGAAUUAAAUAAUAGUGUUCAGAAACCUGGAUUUGGAGGUUUGGAGAAGGCAUGUGCUGCUCCUCUUAGUUAACCAAUUUUAAAAAUACGACUGUUAGAGAGAUCCUUGGGAUUUGCAAACUAGCUAUAGGGAGGAAUUGAAAAGUGCAUUUUAUAGGAUGGGGUGUGAUGCGUUGUGCAUGUCACCCAGACAACCUAUGGACUGUUAUUUUUGCUUACAUCCAAGUUAGUUCAAGAUCACAAUCUCUGGAACGUAUGAUGCGCGGAAGAUCCGCACCACUUGUCUACUAGGACCACACCCGUGGCUGGGGUGGACCUCUAGAUCACACAGGUUGGUGAACGUAGCCACUGGUUGGAAGGCUUUUCAGGAUUAUGAAUGGAUGGUUGGAUGAUCCUAGCUGCCCUAUGAUUUGACAUUCAAUGGGCAAAAGUCAUAUUGAUGGUUAGGAUCAUCCCUUCAGUGUGAUUUUUAAGGGAGAGGCCAUGCACAAAAGGGCCCAAUAGAUGAAUGGUUCAGAUCAUACAUGCGUGAACCACUUUGAUCGAAUUACCAAUUGCUUGAUGGUUAAACAUAGGAGAGUCAUUUGAUACUCUUUGUAGAGUAUGGCACUGGAUACACAGGUACUCAGAAAUUGUAUGUGUGCGGAUGUCGGACAACUAACCAAUUGCUCUAAAAUCUCGAACUGAUAGAGCAUGGCAAAUCAAUCCCUUUAUCUCAUAUCCUAGGUCCCACAUCCCAUGGGUACCUCGGCCGAACCCCCCUCGUGGGCCCACUUCACAUGGGUUCUGCUUCACAUGAACCAUCCAUCUCACAUGGGCCGUCCACCCCAAGUGUGCCCCUGCAUCCCACAGGCCACCUCACUUGAGCCCGGUGUGAAAAUGUCCCCGCAUUACCCCACCUAAGCAGAACGUUGUCUCCAGUAAAAUAGUUUAGGUGUUUGAGCAGCACACAUAACCAUGGUUGUGAAAGUUUCCACCCUUGGAUGAGCUGUAGCCCAAAGUUCGCACUGUUUGAAGUCAAUAACUAACUAAUCUAUGCAUCACUCACUAUUGGGUUGUCAAAAGAGCUUUAGAUGCACAAUACAGAAAUACCAGAUCUACAGAUUAGAGGGAAAUGAUACAGUACAUGUCAUUAUGGUAGUUACAGUUAUUGGAUUAAAGAGAUCGAGAGGAAGUGGAGAAAAAUCGAUUUAGAAUGUUUCCAUCCAUUAUCUCUUUGAUCCAACAGCUGCAACUGUGAUGAUGCUGUAUCAUUUUCCUGGAUUAGCACAUGAACACCCAAUUAAAAUCAUGGACUGAAAUCCAGUUUCACUGUACCAUAUUGGUCACGACUGAACAUGGUCUUAUUGCCCUGUAUUGGGAUGUUUCGGGCUGAUACAGAAACAUUGUUAAUGGCUGUUUUUGGAUGCUCGACUUGUUCAGAUUUCUUCUAUUAGUUCUCAUGUGAAUAUUUUACCUUCUACUGGUUGUCAUAUACCACUUUUGGAGUUUUUUCUUGAGAGCUUUUGCAAAUGGCUUCUUCUUUCAUAGCUGCUGGUGAAGAUUGCAAUGAGCAAAACAAAAAGGCUGCAUUUCGUAGCCUAAGACGGCAAUGUUCGUCCAACGAGGCUUCUUUUGGAAGUCAUGUGACCAAGUCAUUUGUCUGUGCUCCCACAACCCAUGCUGGAUCUUUUAAAUGCAGGCUGCACAGGGUGAGAUUGAUGUGGUAAUUUUGAUGGCACAUUUCAGUAAAUGCUAAUGCUGCACAAAGAUCGACUCAUUUUUAUGGCUUGUCCCAAAAUUUCGGCACUUGCAUUUUUCUAUAGAUGCACAUUAAAUGGGCAUAACUUCUCAUGAAAAGUCAGAAAAUACAAUCUAUAGAAUGUGCAUCAAUUUCUCCACAUCCGGAUUUUAAAGUGGGCAAUUAUUUGAUCACAUCUGGAUACAAAUCAAUAUUCCAGAAGGGCAAGGAUAUGAUAUUGAAGGUGUAAGGUUUGGUCUUUAGUUUGUAUAGAAAGAAAAGUCUCAGACUUAAAAGAGGAUAAUUUAUCAUUACUCACAGAAAUGACUUCAAAAGUAUUCAUCUCAAUUUCUCUUUUUGCGGGUGUUUGAAUAUUAAAUGUAAAAGUUUUAGUGGUCCCCACAUAAAAAAGGAGAUGUUCUCAAUGUUCAAUUCUCUAAAAGUGUGUUUGGUUGCACCAAAUUUCAUGAAAUUUUGCACCUAAUGAGACUGAUUAAUCAAUCAUGAAAUUUUAUGAUUUGGUGUAACCAAACACAGCUUAAACUUUUUGCUUGUUCCAAUAAACAAAAAUAGGUUCUAUAUUAUUGUUGUUGAAAUUUUAUUCCAGAUAUCCAGCUAAGUAGAGCUAGGGGUACAACUCGGUGUGGUUGGGUCGGGUUGGGUUGAGGAUAAACCCGAACCCCAAUCCGACCUCAAGAGGACCUAACCUACAACUUGACCUGACCUGAAUUUCAACCUGAGGUGCUGAACCCUAAUCCAUCUAUGCCCCACCCUCACCUAACACAACCCAACCGAAAUACAUGUGAUUAUUCCCAGUCCAACCUAACCUAAUCUGAAUGUGCUCGACUCAAACCCAACUCAAUUUUAAAUUGGGUUGGAGUGUUCCAACCCUAAUCAGGCUCAAGGAACCUGACGACCCAACCUGACCUCACUCAACCCAACACAUUACUUGGGUUGGGUUGGUCAGUUUCGGGUGUGACCCGAACUGAAUUUGCAACCGUAAGUAGAACCAUGGGCACAUUCAGAACACUGCAUCAGUUGUGGCACAUGUACUCACUGAGAUCUAAACCUCAAACAAUUUCCAAAAUGUAUUGAGCUAAUUUUUGGGAGACUAUAUUCUUUAAUCUCUUGACAAUACCAUUAAGGUCUUGGAACCAUACAAUCAGGAGUGUAUUGGUACUUGGUUCAUGGUGUCAGUCCAAGGCUACAUUCAAAUUCAAUUGCCUUUUGUAUCGCACCCAAAUAGUAAUUACCAGUUUGCUUCCACUUUAGGGAACUAUUGGCUAAGACACAACUCUUUCUAAUGAAAUAAUGCAACCUGUAGACCUUAAGUACUACUGAUUCACCUAGCUGUCCAAAGCUCAACAGAUAGCUUAGAAGAUGGAUUCAUACAGCUUGGACCCUGUUUGCAAUCUGUUUUCAAGAGGGAGAUGAAAGAAAAUAAAUUGUUAAAUAAGCUCCCUAUUAGCUUGUUUUCCACUAUGAUCAAGGGCAUUUUGUAGAAACUAAACAGAUUACUUUUUUUGUAUAAAAUCUUUGGGGUGAACCCGAAGAAAUCAGGAUCCUCCCCCUUUCCAAAGACAACCUUAAUGAUUUAUUUUUGUGUGCGUGUGUGUGUGUGUGUUUUCUUUGCUUUUCCAAAAUUUUUCUAAUUCUCUAGUCAUUUAGGCAAGCUUUAAAGCAUCGUGUAUUGUAAUAAGAUAAUUAAGACUGUCCUUUUUGUUAUUGUACUUAUAUGUUCUGUUAUGUUCUCUUUAUUUUCUUAGGAAAAAUGUGGAGUAGAUGCCUAUGAAGGGUUACUUGUUGAGACAAUCUAUCACACCCAUGGUUGUGUGAGAUCCUUAUCGUUCAUCAGGUGGGGCCCAAAGUGAACAUUCCGCUGCAUUGGUCGAGUAUCCAACUGAAGUUUUGGAUGGAGAAGCUGAGAGACCUACUGAUAAUGAGUCCUCCCUUGUCAUCAGCAUGGUAAAAUGUCCAAAUGCUGAUAUCCAAUAUAGGAAGAGAAAUCUAUGCAAAGAAAUCCAGCAUCAGGCAUUCUUUCUUGGAAUGCACUUCAACUUGAGUAGAGAUUUCCUUGGCAGUUGACAGGCGUUAAAGGAUAUCUACAAGAAUGUCUUCACAUGAUAUUCCAUUUCUUUCUUAUUUUCUACUAAGCACGUUGUGACUUCACCAAUUCUGUCUUUUUUUCUACUAGCAUGUUGUGUUGUGAUGGAACUUUCAAUUUGUUUCAAAUGGAUUUGGUUUUUCUUUACUGAAAAUUAGAAA